UGUCAAUCCAUCACUAUCCGCGUAAAUAUCGUCUGCCCAGACGCAACCACCCACCACCCCUCCCCCAUCGUGUAUCCCCGGGCGAGCUGAUCUCCGGCCGGAUCCGCAGCGCCGUUUCACCACCAGCAUGAUCCACCCCGACGAUCCCCAACGCUCCGUCUUCCUCCUCGCCGGUGCGGCGACCCGUCCGCGUACGCUGCAACCCGAUCCACCUCUCCCCCUCGCCGUCUAGCUUCCCCACUAGGGCACUGCCAAGCUACCCUCCUCCUCACCGCGAUGGUGAAUCGUCUCGGUCCGGCAAAGAAGCCUGCAAGCCCAGAGCAGUCCGGCGAGUCCCCCUGGUACGUACUCACCUGACUUAGGUUUUGAAGUCCUCUCAUGUCGAUACAGUUUUAUUCUGAGGCACUUGAUUUGUGUUACUUCGUGUUCAUAUCUUGAUUGGGCCAAUGUUGACAGGUGAGUAUUUGAUUGCCAUAUCAUCUACAAAUUCUGGUUAAUUUGGCACACAGAUGUCAAUAAUGUGCAUCUCAAUCUUGGUGAUAAUAUUUUUUUAGAAUUUCAAAUUUUCAUGCUUCCAUGGAAAACUAGUUUUAUUCUCAAAGUACCAUGUUUGAUACUUCUCUGUUAUGUAGCACCUAAAUUGCAGUACAGAUGCUUUCAAACUCUAUACAAUAUGCUUACAGUAUUAGUCUGCUUCAAUUUUCGUGGUUAUAUGCUUCCAUUUGAGCUCUUGUAUAUAGCACAAUUUCUACUUCUUGGCAUGCAUCUUGCAACACGCUCUUUUCACGCUUCUUACUGAUGGAGAUUUUAAAUUGUAGCAAACUUGCUUCUUGGGGCGAGAGUUUUCUUCCAUAGGUAAACAAAAUUCAAUGAAACAUGUAUGUUUGUGAGACCAAACAUGCAUCCCAAUGUUGGCCGAACCUUUGUUUGUUUUCAUUUUCAAUGUUCUACUAUUUUAUAUAGCAUAAUUUCAGGCUUCCUGUGAGCUUCUAAAUCAUACUUUGAGUGCUUCUUCGGUUUAUGCAGAUUGCUUCCAUACUUCCUGCUACUUAUUUUAUAAGUUUUUGUGUUAUCCUCGCUAUCACACGUGUCUUCAUUCCAGGAAGCACGGAAGGUAGUAAGAUGCAGCAUGUCUUUUCACAGUCCAUGGUGCGGGAGGCAAUGUCUUCGCACUUUUGCUUGAAGUUUGUGUCUUUGCCGUAGAUGGUGCAGUGCUCUGAGAUCACCAUGAAAGCAAAUUCCCCGCUUAGCUGAGAAAAAUCUUUCACCGUUGUGGAAACAUAUUCCCAUGCAAUUUAAAAUAUAAUUCGUUUUUCCUUUUGAUGGAAACAAAUAUAUGUUUGUAUGGAAGCAAUUCACUGAUAAUGAUUUAGAAGCAAAGUGUAUAUCUUUGUAAGCAAAUCAUGAUCAUAUGCGUCAUUUUUUCGGUAUGGAAGCAAAUCUUACUUUUUUA